UACGAAGGGUGCUAGCGUUGUUCGGAAUCACUGGGCGUAAAGCGCGCGUAGGCGGCUUUUCAAGUCAGGGGUGAAAUCCUGAGGCUUAACCUCAGAAUUGCCUUUGAAACUGUAAAGCUUGAGUGUCGGAGGGGAUAGCGGAAUUCCUAAUGUAGAGGUGAAAUUCGUAGAUAUUAGGAGGAACACCGGUGGCGAAGGCGGCUAUCUGGACGACAACUGACGCUGAGGCGCGAAAGCGUGGGGAGCAAACAGG
rnacentral:rRNA from 1 species